UAAGAAGAAGAUGAUGAUGAUGAUAAUGAUUAAUCGACCACCCAAAUUCUUGUUCCUUCACCUCCUCCUUGCCUUUUUACUAGCAGCCAUUGCAAUAGGAGAUGUCACUCCAGGCUCAACUCUCUAUGCCUCUGACACAGAUCAGGCUUGGCUUUCUCCGACCCAAACUUUCUCAUUUGGCUUUAUCCCACUCAGCCCCCAGAGUUCCCCUCCUUCUUUCCUUGCUGCCAUCUACUAUUCCGGUGGCAUCCCUAUUUGGACUGCAGGCGCCCCCGUUGACUCAGCUGGUUCUCUCCAGUUCCUCUCCACUGGAACACUUCGCCUCCUCAAUGGCUCCAGCUCUAUCGUCUGGGACUCUAACACAGGGAAUCUUGGAGUCUCCUCCGCUUCUCUAGAUGACUUUGGCAAUCUAGUUCUGAAAAAUGAUACUGCCACUGUUUGGUCCUCCUUCGACAACCCUGUUGAUACGAUUGUCCCGUCCCAGAAUUUCACAGUUGGUAAGGUUUUGCGUUCUGGGUUAUACACCUUUAGUCUUCUUAGUUAUGGUAACAUCACUCUUACAUGGAAUAAUAGCAUCACUUUUUGGAAUAAAGGUUUGAAUUCCUCGUUCAACAGUGAAAAUUCUAGUUUAAAUUCGCCUAGUUUGGAAUUGCAAUCUAUUGGAACUCUGUCUGUGUUCGAUGAAACGCUGCCUUCUGUUGGAGCUAUCAUGGUGUAUAGUGAUGAUUAUGCUGAAGCUGGUGAUAUGCUAAGGUUUCUGAAAUUAGAUAAUGAUGGGAACUUAAGGAUUUAUAGCUCUCAAAGGGGUAGUGGGACUCUAACGGAUAGAUGGGCAGCUGUUGAAGAUCAGUGUAGAGUUUAUGGAUAUUGUGGGGAUAUGGGGAUUUGUAGUUAUAAUGAUACGGGUCCAAUUUGCAGGUGCCCAUCUCAGAACUUCGAAUUUAUUGAUCCAGAGGAUAGUAGGAAAGGGUGCAAGAGGAAGGUGGAGACUGAAGAUUGUCCGGGGAAUGUUACAAUGUUGGAUUUGGAACACACUCUGCUGUUGACUUACCCUCCACAGAGUGUAUUUGGUGGUGGUUCGGAGUCAGAGGUUUUCUUUAUUGCUGUAUCAGCAUGUAGAUUGAAUUGUCUUAGCAAUGCCGGUGGUUGUGAAGCUUCCACUGUGUUGUCUGAUGGCACAGGCCAGUGUUAUUUAAAAAAACCUGGUUAUAUUACUGGUUAUUCGAGUCCUGCACUUCCUUCAACUUCACAUAUCAAAGUUUGCUCCCCAGUACUUCCAAACCCAUUACCUUCGCAGUUGUCUGGCAAGAGCAGUGGUUGGAGGGUACAUGGGUGGUCUUUAAUCGUUCAGGGAGUAGCUAUCGUUUUCGGUUUGAUCAGCUUGGAAGCUGGUUUAUGGUUGUGGUGUUUUAGAAACAGCCCCAGAUUUGGAGGACUAUCUGCCCAAUAUGCUCUUCUUGAGUAUGCUUCUGGUGCGCCAGUCCAGUUCUGGUAUAAGGACCUUCAACGCGCAACAAAAGGGUUCAAGGAGAAGCUUGGAACUGGAGGAUUUGGGAGUGUGUACAAAGGAGUUCUUGCCAAUGGAAUGGUUGUUGCAGUGAAGCAACUUGAAGGAAUUGAGCAGGGGGAGAAACAGUUCAGAAUGGAGGUUGCCACUAUAAGCAGCACGCACCAUCUGAAUUUGGUAAGACUAAUUGGUUUUUGCUCUGAAGGGCGCCAUAGGCUGUUGGUAUAUGAGUUCAUGAAAAAUGGGUCUCUUGAUCAAUUCCUUUUCAUCACAAAUAAUCAAACGGGGAAAUUGUUGAAUUGGGAGCAAAGAUUCAGCAUUGCCCUUGGCACUGCCAAGGCCAUCACAUACCUCCAUGAGGAGUGCCAUGACUGCAUUGUUCACUGUGAUAUAAAGCCUGAAAACAUUCUCUUGGAUGAGAAUUACACUGCCAAAGUCUCAGAUUUCGGUCUUGCAAAGCUGAUCCAUGCCAAGGAGCAUAGGUCAUUGGCAAGCAUUAGAGGCACUAGGGGAUAUUUAGCACCAGAGUGGCUUUCAAAUCUUCCAAUAACAUCAAAAUCUGAUAUUUAUAGUUAUGGUAUGGUUUUGCUGGAGAUUGUGGGUGGAUUUAGGAACUUUGAAAUGUCUGCAGAAACAAAUAUGAAAAAGUUUUCAGUGUGGGCAUAUGAAGAGUUUGAGAAAGGUAAUGUCUGGGGAAUUGUUGACAGAAGGCUAGCUGGUCACCAAGAAGUGGAUAUGGAACAAGUGAUGAGGGCAAUUCAAGUAAGCUUUUGGUGCAUUCAGGAGCAACCAUCACUGAGGCCAAGAAUGGAAAAAGUGGUGCGGAUGCUGGAAGGGAUUGUAGAGAUUGAUAAGCCACCUUCCCUUCUGGCCGUGCCGGAACAGUCUAUUAGUGGAUUCAAUACAUAUUUGAGCAGCGAUGUUAGCAAUUUCUCUCACAGUCACACACUCUCAGGACCAGCUCCUACUUCAUCUUCAUCAUUCCAGGCUGCAAGUUUGUCAACUCCUGCUUCUGAGGGAAAUUUAGAAAGGGCUUCUUCUGCUCUUUUACGAUCAGAAGACUAAGCUGAACUGCCUAUUCAUGCCAAUUUUUUGUAUGUGACAUUGCUUUUCUUUGCAUUUGUUUUAUUGAAUUUAUGGUUUAAACCAGUGGUAAACCCAUGUACUUAAAAUACAGAGUGCUAUUCAAUUGUUCUGGUUGAACGUUUCAUUCUUUCUGUGAAUCCCAUCAAAUGGAAGUGAAA
rnacentral:misc_RNA from 1 species